rnacentral:rRNA from 1 species
GGUGGAAUGCGUAGAUAUUGUGAAGAAUACCAAUUGCGAAGGCAGCUUUCUGGUUCUGUACUGACACUAAGGUGCGAAAGCGUGGGGAGCGAACAGGAUUAGAUACCCUGGUAGUCCACGCCGUAAACGAUGACAACCAGCUGUUGGGGAGCAACGCUUUUCAGUGGCGCAGCUAACGCAUUAAGUUGUCCGCCUGGGGAGUACGGCCGCAAGGCUAAAACUCAAAUGAAUUGACGGGGACCCGCACAAGCGGUGGAGCAUGUGGUUUAAUUCGAUGCAACGCGAAAAACCUUACCUACACUUGACAUACUUGGUAUCUUCUGUAAUCGAAGAGUGCCUUUUGGAACCAAGAUACAGGUGCUGCAUGGCUGUCGUCAGCUCGUGUCGUGAGAUGUUGGGUUAAGUCCCAUAACGAGCGCAACCCUUACCCUUAUUUGCCAGCGACUCGGUCGGGAACUAUAAGGGGACUGCCGGUGAUAAACCGGAGGAAGGUGAGGACGACGUCAAGUCAUCAUGGCCCUUACGUGUAGGGCUACACACGUGCUACAAUGGGGAGUACAGAUGGACGCUAAAGCGCGAGCUGGUGCUAAUCCCAAAAAACUCCUCGUAGUCCGGAUUGCAGUCUGCAACUCGACUGCAUGAAGUCGGAAUCGCUAGUAAUCGCGAAUCAGCAUGUCGCGGUGAAUACGUUCUCG